AACAACGGUGCUGAAGGUGUUUAAUCUUUGCCCGUGCCAAGGUUGCUCCCAUAGGAUUCGCAGGGCUGUGUUGAAGUUCAAAGGGGUUAAGGAAGUGAGUACAGAUAGGGAGAAGGGGAUGGUGAUGGUUAAGGGCACAAUGGACGUGACAGCUCUGGUGCAGAAGUUGUCGGAGAAGUUUAGGAGGAAGGUUGAGGUGGUUCCUGCCAAGAAGGAGAAGGAGAAGGAGAAGGAGAAGGGAAAGGAGAAGGAGAAGGAGAAAGUAAAGGAGAAGGAGAAGGAGAAGGAGAAGGAGAAGGAGAAGGAGAAAGUGAAGGAGAAGGAGAAGGAAAAGGAAAAUGAGAAGGAGAAGAAGAAGAAGGAAAAUGAAAGUGAGAAAGAAGGUGACAAAGGAGGGAGUGGCUCCACCAAGAAGAAGAAAAAAGGUGGUAAUGAAGGAGAUAAUGAUAAGGAUAACGAGGGAGAUGGUAAAGGUCAGGCGAAAACUGAAAAAAACAAUAACAAUUAUAUGGUACCCGCAUGUGGUU
rnacentral:sRNA from 1 species